AGCGAACGCUGGCGGCAGGCCUAACACAUGCAAGUCGAACGAACUCUUCGUACUUAGUGGCGGACGGGGGGGUAACACGUGGGAACGUGCCUGUAGGUACGGAAUAACUCAGGGAAACUUGUGCUAAUACCGAAUGUGCUCUUCGGGGGAAGGAUUUAUCGCCUUUUGAGCGGCCCGCGUCUGAUUAGCUGGUUGGUGAGGGAAUGGCACACCAAGGCGACGAUCAUUAGCUGGUAGGUGAGGAGGACAAGCCACAUUGGCACUGCGGCACGGCCUAAACUGCUAGGGAAGGGAGCAGAGGGGAAUCUUGCGCAAGGGGCGAAAGCCUGACGCAGCCGUGCGGCGUAAAUGAUGAAGGUCUUAGGAUUGUAAAAUUCUUUGUCCGGGGACGAUAGUGACGGUACCCGGAGAAGAAGCACCGGCUAACUUCGUG
rnacentral:rRNA from 1 species